CCGGCUCUAAUGCUGGUAGAAGGUUUAAAGGGUGUCAAAGACGUCAGCUGCAUCCAUUUUAACUCAGAUUCUCAGAUUUAUUCAAUUAGUUCGGUGAAGAUUAAACUGAUUAUAAGUUGUCGUCAUCCCAUUAAAUUGUCUCUCAGGCAGAAUUUAGCAUUACCAUCUAUUGGACACUGAGGUGACUGAUCCUGAACUGGUCUCAUCAAUGAAGCAUAUGCCAAGGAACUCUUGGAUGUCCAAGAAGCCAAAAAUUAAUAUUUCGUGGAUUCCCAAAAUGAAAAAGAAUUGUCAGAUAAGAGGAACUUCAAAGGAACUACUCAGGGCCUGUGCCCUGACCUCAGGAAGUAGUUAAAGUUCACUUAUGAAACAAAUGCCUAAAUAUGCCUAUGUCAACACAAGAGCAACAAUACUGUCGCUAUGUGACUGCAUCAACGAAUAGGAUUAGGGAGAAUGCAAACAGAGCCUCUCAAAACUAAAAAACAAACAGCUCUUGAAAUCAGAAGCUGUCGUUUAAGACAAUAGCUUCUGCCAAACUGUAGCAGAAGGAAAUCAACUACAGCCCUGUGGUCAUGGAUCCAAUAUGAAAGGCAGGGCGAAGUUCAUCCUCUGAUUCGGCAAGCAGGGCUUUGAUGUACAGUUUGUGCUAACAUCAACGGCUGUUAGAAAUACUCUGUGCACCGGACAGAAGGGCCUCCCUGCCCGGCUUUAUCUGAAAACGGAUACAGCAUGUCACUUUAGACGUUCCAGUUCCCUCUGCUCAGUGAUCACCAGAGGCGCUCGGCAUUCUUUGAGGUUGGUGUCAACUCCACAAGAUAUUGAUGCCCCCAGUCUGCCCGGUAGGAGGGCAGUCAGGGGGACCUCGCUUCACUGGAGAAUGCCAUUGAUGACCUUACAAAUGGCACACCAGAAAGGAAAACCUUGCUGGACUGAACAAACCAAAUAAGGAAUGACAUUCAUCACUUAAUUCCAUUCCAACACUUUAUUGGAAAGUGGUCAAUCUUCAAAGCAUUUCUCUCUCCCCUCCCAAAUAUCUUCCUCUCUUUUCCUGAAAUGACCUGACAAUGUCAAGAUUCCACUGGCACCAAAAAAGGCCUUUAGGAACUUAACCGAGUAAGGUAAUCUUCAAUGGUGUGAUCCCAGCUCCCCAAGUAUGAAUACUUUACCUGCGUGUGUCGAUGAGACCUCGACAAAGCAUGCAACUUCUGACAAAAGGUUUCAUAAUUUAACAUCUGGAGUGCAGAUAACAUACUACACUCUUUCCACAGCCAAUACAUACAGCCCAGAGUAUGGUGCAGAGACCUGCUCAUGGCACACCAGGUGAGAUCUAAGCAUGGCUUUGGAUAGCCCAAGCAUGACUCCUACUCUUCGUAUUCUAGAUUUGAAGGUUAUCAUUCUAUUGGUCUUUAUGAUUUUUUUUGUCUACCUGCUGUGAUAUUUUAAUGAUCUAUGCCACCCAGACUCAACCAAGGCUCCACAGUUUCUGUAUUUUUCAUCAUUUGGAUAGAAUCUUGUUCCAUCCCUUACUAAACAAAGGGGCAACUUGGCUCAGUUUCAGAGAAACUGGGAAAAUAAGAACAGCAAUAGGCCAUUCGGCCCUACGAGCCUGCUCUGCCAUUCAGCAUAAUUGCAGCUGAUCAGCCCCCCUUUUCCUGCUUUCUCCACAAACUCUUUGAUCCCUACAAACUACAUCUAAACUUCUUUUUGAAAGCAUUCAAUGUCUUUGGCCUCAAAGACUAUCUGUGGCAGAGAAUUCCACAGGCUCACCACUCUCUGGGUGAAGAAAUUUCUCUUUCUCUCAAUCCAGCUGAACUUUGGUCUUGAGACAAAAAGGGUCAGCCAUCUUGGAUUGAGAUGUGCAAGAGGUUUCUCCCUCCAUGGAGAUCCUGAAUUUCUCCAGCAUCUACGGUGUUUGUUUCAGAUUUCAGAAACUGUCAUAUUUUGGUUCUGUUGAGGAGUUCUUCCCUCAGAGAGGUAAAUAUUUAGAAUUCUCAUACCCAAAUAGCCGUGGAAACUCAGCGUAUGAGUUAUUCAUGGCGGAGAUUGCUUGACAUUCUUAGGCACUAAAUAAAUCACAGGACAUGGUGAUAGGUCGAUAGAGAAAUUUACUCAUCAUUUAUCCUAUAGAAGGAUAGAGGAGGCUUGCAUGUUUGUAUAGUCCACUUCUAUUGCUGUUUUUAAAUAAAAUGUAUAGUGGUGUAAUCUUGAGGAAUUGCACGUCAGUGUCACACCAAGGACCCUGUAUCCUCUGAUUAAAGCAAAACAUUGCAGUUUCUAAACUGGAUGAUAGGUAAUUUUUUUUAUUGAAAGGAAAAUAUGGUUUCAAGGCCAGCUGGAAAUGCAUCAGGUCUUAACUAGUUAUUGACAAAAUAAAGUUAUAAAGUCUUGGCAAAGGAACUAGAGGGGAGUUAGCAGAAGUGUUCAAAAAAUAUAAAAGGUUUUUAUUGAGUAAAUAAGCAGAAACGGUUUCAUCCAUUAGGAAGGCUGGCAAUCAGGAAGACAGAAUAAACAUAACUGGUAAUGGAGCCAGAGGUGAGGCAAGAAAAAUCUUUCUUAAGGGUAAAAACAAUGACUGCAGACGCUGGAAACCAGAGUCUAGGUUAGAGUGGCGCUGGAAAAGCACAGCAGGUCAGGCAAUGCUUUUCCAGCACCACUCUAAUCUGGAGUCAAAUCUUUAAGGGAUGGACUUUGCAGAUAUAGCGAUGAUGGGACCGUUAGCGUUAGCUAUCUCUCCAGCUGUGGAACUGACAAACUCUGGGGAUUCCCACAGUCACAGUUAAACAUUGACAGUCCACAGGGCAUGUUGUUAAAGUUCAUGCAGAUGGAAAUUGUUCAAACUCACAAAAACAAUUGUGUACUUCUACCUUUGCAAUAUCAGUGUUUCUGUUUAAAAAAUCUUGAUAAAAGCCGUACCUUGUUACAGGAUGUGUACCUACAGGUAUUCAUUAGCACUGAGCCCAUGAUUAGAUCACAGCAGCCCCUCUGACCUAAUAAAUCUAUUUUUAAAUUUGGAGCAUGUCCAACUUCUCAGCAAUACUUCUGCUGACACCUAGGGGGAGUCAAUGGCUUUCGUAAUCUAGCUAACCCCACCUAAUGCUUUGGAGAGAAGGGCUCAAAUCCCACCAUGGCAGCUGGUGAAAUUUGAGUUUAUAAAUCUCUCGUAUAAGGCUAGUCUUAGUGUUGGUGCCAUGAAUCUCCCAUUGACUUUAAUGAAAAUCCCUUUUGGCUCAUACGUUCUUCAGGGAAGAGAAUCUACCAAAUGAUAUCCAGUCUGUUGUUAUGGACUGGAGUCACGUGUCAGUUGAUGUGGUCAACUCUUAAUGAACUUAGGAAGUCAAAUCAGUUCAAGAGCACUUAGGGGAGGGAGCUAUUUCAUAUCCAACCCAUGAAAGAAUUGAAUAAAAAUCCAUAAAGCCAU